rnacentral:rRNA from 1 species
GUCCAUACAGUAAACGUUGAUAACUCGAUGUGUGCGAUAUACAGUACGCGUCCAAGGGAAACCGAUAAGUUAUCCACCUGGGGAGUACGACCGCAAGGUUGAAACUCAAAGGAAUUGACGGGGGCCCGCACAAGCGGAGGAGCAUGUGGUUUAAUUCGAUGAUACGCGAGGAACCUUACCUGGGCUUGAAAGUUAGUGAAUGAUGUAGAAAUAUGUCAGUCCGCAAGGACACGAAACUAGGUGCUGCAUGGCUGUCGU